rnacentral:lncRNA from 1 species
AGGUAAGGUGACAUAUUCACAGUUUCCAGGGAUGAGGAAGUGGACAUCUUCGAGGGGCCAUUAUUCUGCCCACCACAAAGGCAUAAAAUAAACAAUUAUUAGCCGUUGCCACAGUCGUGCAUUCGUCUGGAAGCUUAUAUGGCAAAACUCUGCAGCAGUCAAAAGAGAGCAAAAAGGAAGAGCCCGAUGAAAUGCUUUAGUAACAAGUCACUAAGAAUCUCAGGCACAGACUGACAUUUGCUGUGUUUGCUCUGUCAUCAACCACUAACGAUUUUGGAAAGUUGGAUAAAUGUUCACAAGGUGGUAGAGAUAAGAGACUGCCAAAAGGGACCUCUCAAGUUUGACCUGAGGUUGUCGACCCUGCCAAGGUGUAAACACUCUCUUCACUUACUUGAAAUCAUCAGCAAAAUCUGUUACCCACUAAAAGCCUUUUGGGGAGCAAAGGAUUUAUUUUGUUUGUCUUCUGUGGCAAUCGUGAAAAUCCGAGCACUUCCCCUGUUCCGUGAGAUGUAUUACAGGGGAGCAAAUAAACUGAGCUCUUUCCGCAGAAGCUUGAGCUCAGAACGGGAUGUUACUACAAGAAGGUGAUCAAGAGUAACACCAGGCUCAGAAUGGGUGAGGGUUUGAACCGAUCUUAGGUCCUGGCUGGUGAGGUGCUUCUGAGGACAGCUGGCUUGACCCGUCUCUGUUCCACCUUCUCUACCCCAAGCGACGCACCGCUGCAGCCCAGCGGUCCGCUCAGUGCUUCAUAAUCAUCAAAACAAUGCCGGGGAAUGAGGAGGAAGGCUGGGGAUGGGGGGACCUCUGCUCAGGUUUUCCCUGAGAGACUUCCAGGAGUCUUCCAGACCUCUGAACAGAAAACUGAUUUAAUUAGAAGCAAAAUCCUGACGAGGAGGCUUCUGGUGGCUGUGUGGGAAGAUGAGC